GAUGAACGCUGACAGAAUGCUUAAACACAUGCAAGUCGAACGCUGAAGCCCCAGCUUGCUGGGUGGAUGAGUGGCGAACGGGUGAGUAACACGUGAGUAACCUGCCCCCUUCUUUGGGAUAACGCCCGGAAACGGGUGCUAAUACUGGAUAUUCACUGAUCUUCGCAUGGGGGUUGGUGGAAAGGUUUUUUCUGGUGGGGGAUGGGCUCGCGGCCUAUCAGCUUGUUGGUGGGGUGAUGGCCUACCAAGGCUUUGACGGGUAGCCGGCCUGAGAGGGUGACCGGUCACAUUGGGACUGAGAUACGGCCCAGACUCCUACGGGAGGCAGCAGUGGGGAAUAUUGCACAAUGGGCGAAAGCCUGAUGCAGCGACGCCGCGUGAGGGAUGACGGCCUUCGGGUUGUAAACCUCUUUCGCUCAUGGUCAAGCCGCAGCUUUGGGUUGUGGUGAGGGUAGUGGGUAAAGAAGCGCCGGCUAACUACGCGCCAGCAGCCGCGGUAAUACGUAGGGCGCGAGCGUUGUCCGGAAUUAUUGGGCGUAAAGGGCUUGUAGGCGGUUGGUCGCGUCUGCCGUGAAAUCCUCUGGCUUAACUGGGGGCGUGCGGUGGGUACGGGCUGACUUGAGUGCGGUAGGGGAGACUGGAACUCCUGGUGUAGCGGUGGAAUGCGCAGAUAUCAGGAAGAACACCGGUGGCGAAGGCGGGUCUCUGGGCCGUUACUGACGCUGAGGAGCGAAAGCGUGGGGAGCGAACAGG
rnacentral:rRNA from 1 species